rnacentral:tRNA from 2 species
GGGCAGGUGAUCCGAUUGGUAAUGGUGGUUCUCUGUAAAAGAAUUGGUGUAAACUGUAAAAGGUUCGAUUCCUUUACUGCUCA